rnacentral:tRNA from 1 species
GCUUCUGUAGCUCAGUAGGUAGAGCGCAUCCUUGGUAAGGAUGAGGUCACCGGUCCGACUCCGGUCAGAAGCUCCA